rnacentral:rRNA from 1 species
CCUACGGGCGGCAGCAGUCGAGAAUCAUUCACAAUGGGGGAAACCCUGAUGGUGCGACGCCGCGUGGGGGAAUGAAGGUCUUCGGAUUGUAAACCCCUGUCAUGUGGGAGCAAAUUAAAAAGAUAGUACCACAAGAGGAAGAGACGGCUAACUCUGUGCCAGCAGCCGCGGUAAUACAGAGGUCUCAAGCGUUGUUCGGAAUCACUGGGCGUAAAGCGUGCGUAGGCUGUUUCGUAAGUCAUGUGUGAAAGGCGAGGGCUCAACCCGCGGACGGCACAUGAUACUGCGAGACUAGAGUAAUGGAGGGGGAACCGGAAUUCUCGGUGUAGCAGUGAAAUGCGUAGAUAUCGAGAGGAACACUCGUGGCGAAGGCGGGUUCCUGGACAUUAACUGACGCUGAGGCACGAAGGCCAGGGGAGCGAAAGGGAUUAGAUACCCCUGUAGUC